rnacentral:rRNA from 1 species
AUGCGAGUGAGAAUGCAGGCAUGAGUAGCGUGUGACGGGUGGGAAUCCCGUCCGCCGAUUAUCCAAGGGUUCCAGGGUCAAGUUUGUCUGCCCUGGGUGAGUCGGGUCCUAAGGCGAGGCCGACAGGCGUAGUCGAUGGGUAACCAGUUGAUAUUCUGGUACCGGCUUGUCACCGUCCGUGUCGAGGUGUGUGAUGCUAAGCAUGUGAGCUUGUCUUGGGAGUGUUUUUGAUGCUUCUGGGGUGGGUGAGUGUGUGAACCGAUCAUGUAGUAGGCAAGCUGCGGAGGGACGCAGUGAGGUAGCUCAUCCCCGGUGAUGGUUGUCCGGGGCUAAGUGUGUGGACUGUCUGGUAGGUAAAUCCGCUGGGCGUGAAGGUUGAGGCAUGAUGGGGAGCCCAUGGUUGUGGGUGAGUGAGUGAUCCUGUACUGUCGAGAAAAGCUUCGUGAGCGAGGUGGCGGGUCCGC